GACGAACGCUGGCGGCGUGCUUAACACAUGCAAGUCGAACGGACAGGCCAUGCUUUUGUGGGUUGCUCGAGUGGCGAACGGGUGAGUAACACGUGUGUAACCUCCCCUUGUCUUUGGGAUAACUUCAGGAAACUGGGGCUCAUACCGGGUAUGAGAUCCUGCUGCAUGUUGGUGGUUGGAAAGUUUCGGCGGUUGUGGCUGGACUCGAGGCUUAUGAGCUUGUUGGUGGGGUAGUUGCUUACCAGGGCUUUGACGGGUAGCCGGCCUGGGAGGGGGACCGGCCACAUGGGUACUGAGAGACGGCCCAGAAGCGUACGGGAGGCAACAGGCGAGAAUAUGGCACAAUAGGCGCAAGCCAGAUGCGACAACCCCGGGUGCGGGAUGACGGCCUUCGGGUUGAAAACCGCUUUCGCCUGUGACGAAGCGGGAGUGACGGUAAUGGGUAAAGAAGCACCGGCUAACUACGUG
rnacentral:rRNA from 1 species